GCCCCGGUAAACGGCGGCCGUAACUAUAACGGUCCUAAGGUAGCGAAAUUCCUUGUCGGGUAAGUUCCGACCUGCACGAAUGGCGUAAUGAUGGCCAGGCUGUCUCCACCCGAGACUCAGUGAAAUUGAACUCGCUGUGAAGAUGCAGUGUACCCGCGGCAAGACGGAAAGACCCCGUGAACCUUUACUAUAGCUUGACACUGAACAUUGAGCCUUGAUGUGUAGGAUAGGUGGGAGGCUUUGAAGUGUGGACGCCAGUCUGCAUGGAGCCGACCUUGAAAUACCACCCUUUAAUGUUUGAUGUUCUAACGUUGGCCCGUAAUCCGGGUUGCGGACAGUGUCUGGUGGGUAGUUUGACUGGGGCGGUCUCCUCCUAAAGAGUAACGGAGGAGCACGAAGGUUGGCUAAUCCUGGUCGGACAUCAGGAGGUUAGUGCAAUGGCAUAAGCCAGCUUGACUGCGAGCGUGACGGCGCGAGCAGGUGCGAAAGCAGGUCAUAGUGAUCCGGUGGUUCUGAAUGGAAGGGCCAUCGCUCAACGGAUAAAAGGUACUCCGGGGAUAACAGGCUGAUACCGCCCAAGAGUUCAUAUCGACGGCGGUGUUUGGCACCUCGAUGUCGGCUCAUCACAUCCUGGGGCUGAAGUAGGUCCCAAGGGUAUGGCUGUUCGCCAUUUAAAGUGGUACGCGAGCUGGGUUUAGAACGUCGUGAGACAGUUCGGUCCCUAUCUGCCGUGGGCGCUGGAGAACUGAGGGGGGCUGCUCCUAGUACGAGAGGACCGGAGUGGACGCAUCACUGGUGUUCGGGUUGUCAUGCCAAUGGCACUGCCCGGUAGCUAAAUGCGGAAGAGAUAAGUGCUGAAAGCAUCUAAGCACGAAACUUGCCCCGAGAUGAGUUCUCCCUGAGACUUAGAGUCUCCUGAAGGAACGUUGAAGACGACGACGUUGAUAGGCCGGGUGUGUAAGCGCAGCGAUGCGUUGAGCUAACCGGUAC
rnacentral:rRNA from 1 species